AUUGAACGCUGGCGGCAGGCCUAACACAUGCAAGUCGAACGAGUGGCGGACGGGUGAGUAAUGUCUGGGAAACUGCCUGAUGGAGGGGGAUAACUACUGGAAACGGUAGCUAAUACCGCAUACCAUCGGAUGUGCCCAGAUGGGAUUAGCUAGUAGGUUGGGUAACGGCUCACCUAGGCGACGCUCCCUAGCUGGUCUGAGAGGAUGACCAUCCACACUGGAACGAAGCAACGUUAGAGACGCAUAAGGAAGGCAGCAGUGGGGAAUAUUGCAAAAUGGGCGCAAGCAGGAUGCAGCCAUGCCGGGUGUGUGAAGAAGGCCUGCGGGUUGUAAAGCACUUUCAGCGGGGAGGCGUUACCCGCAGAAGAAGAACCGGCUAACUCCGUGCCAGCAGCCGCGGUAAUAC
rnacentral:rRNA from 1 species